rnacentral:tRNA from 2 species
GGAAGAGUGGCAGAGUGGCCUAUUGCGUCUGUCUUGAAAACAGAAGUCGGGCAACCGACCGUGGGUUCGAAUCCUACCUCUUCCGCCA